rnacentral:rRNA from 1 species
UACGUAGGGAGCAAGCGUUGUCCGGAAUCAUUGGGCGUAAAGAGCGUGUAGGCGGCUCGAUAAGUCUGCUGUGAAAGUCCAGGGCUCAACCCUGGAAGGCCGGUGGAAACUGUCGGGCUAGAGUCCGGAAGAGGCGAGUGGAAUUCCCGGUGUAGCGGUGAAAUGCGCAGAUAUCGGGAAGAACACCCGUGGCGAAGGCGGCUCUCUGGGACGGUACUGACGCUGAGACGCGAAAGCGUGGGGAGCGAACAGG